rnacentral:rRNA from 1 species
AUUGAACGCUGGCGGCAGGCCUAACACAUGCAAGUCGAACGAGUGGCGGACGGGUGAGUAAUGUCUGGGAAACUGCCUGAUGGAGGGGGAUAACUACUGGAAACGGUAGCUAAUACCGCGUACCAUCGGAUGUUCCCAGAUGGGAUUAGCUAGUAGUUGGGGUAAAGGCUCACCUAGGCGACGAUCCCUAUCUGGUCUGAGAGGAUGACCAGCACAACGGUAAAUGUGACACGGUCCAGACGCCUUCGGGAGGCAGCAUUGGGGAAUAUUGAACAAUGGGCUCAAGCCUGAUGCAGCCAUGCCGCGUGUAUGAAGAAGGCCUUCGGGUUGUAAAGUACUUUCAGCGGGGAGGCGUUACCCGCAGAAGAAGCACCGGCUAACUCCGUGCCAGCAGCCGCGGUAAUAC